rnacentral:lncRNA from 1 species
UUUUUUUUUUUUUUUUUGGAUAUAACACCAAAAGCACAAGCAACAAAAGAAAAUAUAAAGUAGACUUUGUCAAAAUUAGAAACUUUUGUGUAUCAAAGGACACUAUAAAAGAGUAAAAAGGCAAACCAUGAAAUGGGAGAAAACAUUUACAAACCAUGUAUCUGAUAAAGGAUUAGUACCCAGAAUAAAGAGCUACAACAAUAACAAAAGAUCUACUUCAAAAUGGGCAACAUAAUAAAAAAGAAUGAAAUCUUCCCAUUUACAAUGAAGUGGAUAGAGUUAGAGAGUACUAUGCUAAGCAAAAUAAGUCAAUCGAAGAAAGACAAAUACCAUAUGAUUUCACUCAUAUGUGGGAUUUAAGAAACAAAGCAGAUGAACACAGAGGGGAAGAAAGAGAGCAAACCGGGAAAUAGACUUAACUAUACAGAAAAAACUGAGGGUUACUGGAGAGGAGGUAUACAGGAGAAUGGGUUAAUAAACAGGUGAUGGUGAUGGGUAUUAAGGAGGGCUCUUGUUGUGAUGAACACUUGGGUGUUUAUUUAAGUGAUAAAUCGUUAAAUUCAACACCUGACACUAAUAUUACGCUGUGUGUUAGCUAACUGGAAUUUAAAUAAAAACUUGAAAAAGAAAAAAAUGGACAAAGUACUUGAAUAGACAUUUCUCCAAAGAAAACAUACAACUGGCCAAUGAUCAUAUAAAAAAGAUGUUCAAUAUCAUUAAUUAUUAGGGAAAUGCAAAUCAAAACCACAAUGAAACCCACUCCACACCUAUCUGGACAGCUAUUAUAAAGACAUAUUUUUAAAAAACAGAAAGUAACAUACUGGACUGGCAAGGAUGUAGAGAAAUUGGAAUUCUUGGACAUUGCUAGUAGGAAUGUAAAAUACUGCAGGCACUAUGAAAAACAGUAUGGGGGCUCAGUCAGUUGGGCGUCUGACUCUAUUUCAGCUCAGGUCAUGAUCUCAGGGUCCUGGAAUUGAGCCCUACAUUAGGAUCCAUGCUCACUGGGGUGUCUUCUUGAGAUUCUCUCUCCUUCUCCUUCUGUCCAUCUCCCCAGGCACUCCCUCUCACACGUGUGCUCUCUCUCCCUCUCUCUGGAAUAAAUAAAUAAAUCUUCUUUAAAAAAAGUAUAGUGGUUCCUCAAAAAACUAAAUACAGAAUUACCAUAUGAUAAAUAAUUCUACUUCUAGUUAUAUACCCAAAAGAUUUGGAACCAGGGAGUCAGAUACUCAUAUGCCAAAUGUUCACUGCAGCAUUAUUCAUAAUACCCAAAAGGAAGAAACAACCCAAGUGUCCAAAAACACUGGAUAAACAAAAUGGAAUACACACAACACACACACACACACACACACACACACACACACACACACACACACUGGAAUAUUUUUCCAAAGAUCUACAGAUGGUCAAUAAGCACAUGAAAAGAUGGUCGACGUCACCAAUCACUAGCGAAAUGCAAAUCAAAACCACAAUGAGAUACCACUUCUUAUCUAUUUAAGAUGGCUAUUAUCAAAAAAAGGAAAAUAAGAAAUGUUGGUGAAGAUGUGGAACUCACACACUGGUGCUAGUAAGGGAAAAUGGUAUGGCUGGUAGAGAAAAUGGUUUGGUAAUUUCUCAAAGGUUAAAUAUGGAAUUACUAUUUGAUCCAGCAACUGAAAAUAAGGACUCAAACUGAGACACUUGUACACCAAUGUUCAUAUAGCAGCCUUAUUCACAAGAGCCAAAAGCUGGAAACAACCCAAGUGUACACCAGCAGACAAAUGGAUAAGCAAUGUCAUAUAUAUACAUACAAUGUAAUAUUAUUUAUUCACAAAAAGAAAUGAAAGUCUGUUACAUGCUACAUCAUGGACGAACCUUGAAAACAUUAUGCUGUAACAUAAGCCAGAAACAAAAGGACAAAUAUUGUAUGAUUCCAUUUAUAUGAAGUUUCUAGAAUAAUCAAAUUCAUGGAGACAAAAAGUAUAAUCGAGAUUUCCAGGAGCAGCGGGGGGGGGGGGGGGUAGUAAAGAGUUUCUGUUUGGAAUGAUCAAAAUUUUCUGGAAGUAAAUAGUGAUGUUUAUACAACAAUUUAAAUGCAUUUAAUGCCACUGAAUUAUACACUUAAAAUUAGUAAACUGUAUAUUUUACCAUAAUAAAAAUAAUUUUUAAAUAUUAAAGAACUGUGAUUCCUGGGUGGCUCAGUGUUCAACACCUGCCUUCAGCCCAGGGCAUGAUCCUGGAGUCCCAGGAUCGAGUCCCACGUCGAGCUCCCUGCAUGGAGCCUGCUUCUCCCUCUGCCUGUGUCUCUGCCUCUCUCUCUCUCUCUCUCUCUAGCAUGAAUAAAUAAAUUAAAUCUUUAAAUAAGUAAAUAAAUAUUAAAGAACUAAUCAAUUAAAAUAGAUCAUUACUAAUACAGAAACCUGCUACAGCAUCUGAGAAAGUAAAUCAAUAAAAACAAUGAGUGUUUUAUGGGACAAACACAGUAUCAUUACUUACAAUCAUAAACCACAGUCUCCUAAAAGCUUAAGUAUUCCAAUACGUUUAAAUGUAUCAAGGGCACUUGAGUGGCACAUCAGUUAAGCAUCCAACUCUUGGUUUCGGCUCAGGGUCAUGAUCUCAGUAUCAUGAGAUCAAGCCCAGUGCAGAGCCUGCUUAAGACUCUCUGCCCCUCUCCCUCUGCCCCACCCCUCCACACUCUCUCUAAAAUAAAACCUUUAAAAUUUUAAAAAAAAUAAUAAAUGAAUCACAAUAUUUUCUUUUCAAAGGCUCCUUCCCUCCAACCAUAGUACUUAAAUCCCUUUCCCAUACUGAAAAGUAAAACGAAACUUCCUUCUUCCUGGCUCUCCUCAUAACAACAAAAAUGUUGCAGCAGUACCAGAUCAUGUCCUAUCUACAUGUACCUGUCCACAAGGAAAAGUGUCCUCUGAACAGACUAAAUUUACAUUAGGUUUUACCACUCUCAGAAUACUCUCUGUUUCAAAGACAGGCCUUCAUACAGAACCCAGCCUUGACCAUGAGUCAGAAGUUUCUUUUAACAGGACUGAAUCUAUCAUAAAGGCACUGACUCUCACUCCAAAGAAGAAAGGAGCCACUUUAGUUUUUCACAUGGCUGAUUACCCAAUUUUCCUUGAACAAGUUCAAUGCAGGUCUAGCUUGCAAGUGUAUUGCUAGGGAGAAAAGCAAAACAGCAAUGUGUGGCUAGCAAAUGCAAAAAAGAAAAGGAUGAUACUCAAAGUACCUACCAAGAAAAGAAAUGUACAGAGAAAGAAUACAAAAAACAAAAACAAUUUCAAGUCAUCAUUAAUGAAUCAGAGUACCACAUAUCCCACCCCAAACUCCCUAAGUGCAUCACAGCCAGGUGAGAAAAGGAGCAAACGAGAAUCACCAAAUGGAAUUAGGGAUUUCAGUGAGGAAGCAACAAAUAUCACUGUAUUAACAUUAUAACCAUUUGUUUCUAUAAAUAAUACCAAAAAGAAAGUUCAGUUAAACAACUGAUGCCCAAGAAAUCAAGCCGUAGUAGGAAACACUUUAUUUUUGUAAUGCUUAAGGAUUUAUUCCCCUCAAGUAUGUAUCAAUUUUGAAUUUUUGAAAAA